rnacentral:tmRNA from 3 species
GGGGUCGAUUCUGGUUUCGACUUCGUGUGUUGAGUUAGGGGAAGCGUGCCGGUGCAGGCAGGAGACCACCGUGAGCGUCGCUGCACACCUAUAAGCGCCGAGAACACUCAGCGCGACUACGCCCUCGCUGCCUAAUAAGAAAGGUCUAGCGACCGCGUGUCUGUCAGCCCAGGCCUGUCCCUCGUCUGGAUCCUGGCAUCGUUUUUAGGGACUUGCCUUUCGGUCUUGUUGGUUGGGCCGGAGGGGACUUUCAAACCAACUGGGUUCGUCAUCCUCGCUAGUUCGUGUGACGGGGAGAGCCGAGUAAAGACAACAACGAACUGCGCACGGAGAAGCCCUGGCGAGAUCGCGAAGGACCCGGGUUCAAUUCCCGGCGGCUCCACAG